rnacentral:rRNA from 1 species
UACGAAGGGGUCUAUCGUUGCUCGGAAUCACUGGGCGUAAAGGGUGCGUAGGCGGGUCUUUAAGUCAGGGGGGAAAUCCUGGAGCUCAACUCCAGAACUGCCUUUGAUACUGAAGAUCUUGAGUUCGGGAGAGGUGAGUGGAACUGCGAGUGUAGAGGUGAAAUUCGUAGAUAUUCGCAAGAACACCAGUGGCGAAGGCGGCUCACUGGCCCGAUACUGACGCUGAGGCACGAAAGCGUGGGGAGCAAACAGG